GGGGGAUUAGCUCAGUUGGCUAGAGCAUUAGCUUUGCAAGCUAAGGGUCAUCGGUUCGACUCCGAUAUCCUCCACAA
rnacentral:tRNA from 1 species